CACGGGGGGAGCAAGCGUUGUUCGGAAUCACUGGGCGUAAAGGGCGCGUAGGCGGUUCGGUAAGUGGAAUGUGAAAUCCCUCGGCUCACCCGAGGACCUGCAUCCCAAACUGCCGAGCUUGAGUAUGGGAGAGGAUGAGGGAAUUCCUGGUGUAGCGGUGAAAUGCGUAGAUAUCAGGAGGAACACCGGUGGCGAAGGCGCUCAUCUGGCCCAAUACUGACGCUGAGGCGCGAAAGCUAGGGGAGCAAACGGG
rnacentral:rRNA from 1 species